GACGAACGCUGGCGGCGUGCCUAAUACAUGCAAGUCGGACGCAGUUGCGAACGGGUGAGUAACGCGUAGGUAACUACCUAUUAGAGGGGGAUAACUAUUGGAAACGAUAGCUAAUACCGCAUACUAGUAGAUGGACCUGCGUGGUCUUAGCUAGUAGGUAGGGUAAUGGGAGUCCUAGGCAACGAUACAUAGCCGACGGUAGAGGGUGGUCGGGCACACUGGGACGUGUGCACGGCCCAGUCUCCUACGGGAGGCAGCAGUAGGGAAUCUUCGGGGAGGGGGGGAACCCUGACCGAGCAACGCCGCGGUAGUGAGGAAGGUUUUCGGAUGGUUAAGGGCUGUUGUUAAGGAAGCGGUACUUGACCAGAAAGGGACGGCUAACUACGUGCCAGCAGCCGCGGUAAUUC
rnacentral:rRNA from 1 species